AGGUAGCCCAGUGGGUUGAGCAACCGACUCGAACUUAAGAGGUCACCGGUUCAAUUCCUCUCUG
rnacentral:tRNA from 16 species